rnacentral:lncRNA from 10 species
UGCAAAGAAUCCUUGUGCCUACUUAUGAUUCCCAAGCCUCCCUCCUCUAACUAAAAAAUAAGCAAUUUUCAUCUAUACUCCUUGGAAAUAUAGAAACCUAUAUGUACAGACAUGGUGAAGAGAAUGGACAGACUAAUUUUGAGCUAUAUAACUUGCUAGCUUAGUGACUUAAAACUAAUGACUUCACCUUGAUAAGCCUUAGUUUUCACAUCUCUAAAAUGGGACCAUUAAUUGUACCUACCUCUUAGGGUUAAAAGAAAAGGGAGUGAUUUCCAAGCAAGAGAAAUUGUACAAGUUAAAGAACAUAGGCAACUCAAAUUCUCUCCAGGGUCAUGAUUAUGCCCUUGUACCUACAAUCUCAUGUAGCCCACUCUAGCAACUCAUACUUGGAUUCGAGUUCUUAAAAAAUAUGUCAGUGCUAAUUGGGACAAAGUGAAGGAAUUAUGUCAAAAAUUACCUCUGCAAGAGUAGCCACAUGGUACUUUACUUGAGCCCACGUUUUUAAAAAGCAAGAGAUUUCACAUGAAUAGGUCUACAGGCCACUGAUAGCCAGGCUGCCCAGCUCUAAGCACUGAGCAUGAGUGGGCUGUGGGGUCAUAUUUGGAGCAAAGCAACAUGAGCUGAGCCUGAGGUGGGAUAAAUAAAUAAAUAGUAUACUUUUUAAAUGCUGUUGUAAGAGAGGGCCCUGUGUGUCUGCAUGGGAGGUCAAGAGAGCUGGAUAGGAAGACAGGAAGUGAUGGCAAAAGAGAAAAGGGGCUGGGCACAGUGGCUUACGCCUGUAAUCCCAGCACUUUGGGAGGCCGAGGUGGGUGGAUCACCUGAGGUCAGCAGUUCAAGACCAGCCUGGCCAACAUGGUGAAACCCCAUCUCUACUAAAAAAUACCAAAAAAAAAUUAGCUGGGCAUGGUGGUGGGUGCCUGUAGUCCCAGCUACUCAGGAGGCUGAGGUGGAAAAUGGCUUGAACCCAGGAGGCAGAUGUUGCAGUGAGCUGAGAUUGUGCUAUUGCACUCCAGCCUGGGCAACAGGGUGAGACUCUGUCUCAAAAAAAAAAAAAAAAA